GAUAGCUCAGUUGGUUAGAGCGCGGUGCUGAUAACACCAAGGUCGCAGGUUCAAUACCCAUAUGGGACA
rnacentral:tRNA from 1 species